UCUUGAGCAUCUGUGUGUGGCGACAGUAGAUGGCUGCGGGCACCGGGAAAUAAUAGUAGUGACAGAAACUUGCGAGCAGCUCCAACCUGCCAGCUCAUCCAUCUACGGAGCCAAGUCCGUCUUGUGCAGUAUGGGUGGCUCAAUCAGGCUUGAGAUGUCUUGCAGCAAAUUCCGUCUUUGGCAAUCUCAGACGUCAGGCUUAUCAUCACUUCGUUUCCUGGAGGUAAUGAACGAAAAUUCAAAGAAGAUCCUGAUACAAUCGGAAGAGGUUAACACUUUGCAUAUUGUACGGCUUUCAACUAUAUCUUCCUCUUCAAGCCUUGCGUGGGGAAAUUAAAUGCCUCGUGUAGAUAUC